rnacentral:rRNA from 1 species
UGAGAUGGAGCAAAUCCCAGAAAUAACGUCCCAGUUCGGAUUGUAGUCUGCAACCCGGCUACAUGAAGCUGGAAUCGCUAGUAAUCGCGGAUCAGAAUGCCGCGGUGAAUACGUUCCCGGGUCUUGUACACACCGCCCGUCACACCAUGGGAGCCGGAAAUGCCCGAAGUCAGUGACCCAACCGCAAGGAGGGAGCUGCCGAAGGUGGAGCUGGUAACUGGGGUGAAGUCGUAACAAGGUACC